GAUGAAGAACGUAGCGAAAUGCGAUAAGUAAUGUGAAUUGCAGAACUCAGUGAAUCAUCGAAUCUUUGAACGCACAUUGCGCCCGCCAGUAUUCUGGCGGGCAUGCCUGUUCGAGCGUCAUUUCAACCAUCAAGCCCCCGGCUUGUGUUGGGGACCUGCGGCUGCCGCAGGCCCUGAAAACCAGUGGCGGGCUCGCUAGUCACUCCGAGCGUAGUAAUACAUCUCGCUCAGGGCGUGCUGCGGGUUCCGGCCGUUAAAAGCCUUAUUUACCCAAGGUUGACCUCGGAUCAGGUAGGAAGACCCGCUGAACUUAAGCAUAUCAAUAAGCGGAGGA
rnacentral:misc_RNA from 1 species